GACGAACGCUGGCGGCGUGCCUAAUACAUGCAAGUAGAACGCUGAAGCGAGGAGCUUGCUCUUCUUGGAUGAGUUGCGAACGGGUGAGUAACGCGUAGGUAACCUGCCUUGUAGCGGGGGAUAACUAUUGGAAACGAUAGCUAAUACCGCAUAACAAUGGAUGACCCAUGUCAUUUAUUUGAAAGGGGCAAAUGCUCCACUACAAGAUGGACCUGCGGUGUAUUAGCUAGUAGGUGAGGUAACGGCCCACCUAGGCGACGAUACAUAGCCGAACUGAGAGGGGUGACGGGCACACUGGGAACGGGACAAGGCCCAGACCCCUACGGGGGGCAGCAGGAGGGAAUCUUCGGCAAUUGGGGCAACCCUGACCGAGCAACGCCGCAUGAGUGAAGGAGGUUUUCGGAUCGUAAAGCUCGGUUGUUAGUCAAGAACGAGUGUGAGAGUGGAAAGUUCACACUGUGACGGUAGCUUACCAGAAAGCGACGGCUAACUACGUG
rnacentral:rRNA from 1 species